UACGGAGGGGGUUAGCGUUGUUCGGAAUUACUGGGCGUAAAGCGCGCGUAGGCGGACCAGAAAGUUGGGGGUGAAAUCCCGGGGCUCAACCCCGGAACGGCCUCCAAAACUCCUGGUCUUGAGUUCGAGAGAGGUGAGUGGAAUUCCGAGUGUAGAGGUGAAAUUCGUAGAUAUUCGGAGGANCACCAGUGGCGAAGGCGGCUCACUGGCUCGAUACUGACGCUGAGGUGCGAAAGUGUGGGGAGCAAACAGG
rnacentral:rRNA from 1 species